rnacentral:rRNA from 1 species
UACGGGGGGGGCAAGCGUUGUUCGGAAUUACUGGGCGUAAAGGGCUCGUAGGCGGCCACCUAAGUCAGACGUGAAAUCCCUCGGCUUAACCGGGGAACUGCGUCUGAUACUGGAUGGCUUGAGUUUGGGAGAGGGAUGCGGAAUUCCAGGUGUAGCGGUGAAAUGCGUAGAUAUCUGGAGGAACACCGGUGGCGAAGGCGGCAUCCUGGACCAACACUGACGCUGAGUGAGCGAAAGCCAGGGGAGCAAACAGG